GUGGCGCAGUUGGUAGCGCUUUAGCGUAGGGACGCUGAGGUCGUCAGUUCAAGUCUGAUCUUUA
rnacentral:tRNA from 1 species